GGAGGAACCUCUGGAGAGAACCGUUUAAUCGGUCGCCGAAGGAGCAAGUCCUGUGUCAUGCACAGGGUGAAACUCUCAGGCAAAAGGACAGAGGAGUGGAA
rnacentral:ncRNA from 3 species